rnacentral:rRNA from 1 species
GACGAACGCUGGCGGCGUGCUUAACACAUGCAAGUCGAACGGUAAGGCCCUUCGGGGUACACGAGUGGCGAACGGGUGAGUAACACGUGGGUGAUCUGCCCUGCACUUCGGGAUAAGCCUGGGAAACUGGGUCUAAUACCGGAUAGGACCACUGCCUGCAUGGGUGGUGGUGGAAAGCUUUUGCGGUGUGGGAUGGGCCCGCGGCCUAUUAGCUUGUUGGUGGGGUGAUGGCCUACCAAGGCGACGACGGGUAGCCGGCCUGGGAGGGUGACCGGCCACACUGGGAAUGAGAUACGGCCCAGACUCCUACGGGAGGCAGCAGUGGGGAAUAUUGCACAAUGGGCGCAAGCCUGAUGCAGCGACGCCGCGUGAGGGAUGACGGCCUUCGGGUUGUAAACCUCUUUCAGCACCGACGAAGCGCAAGUGACGGUAGGUGCAGAAGAAGGACCGGCCAACUACGUGCCAGCAGCCGCGGUAA